GGUGUAACGGGGGCCACUUUAUCAAUGGUCCUAAUUCGGUUUCAUGAUCUAAGUCGUAUCUCUUCGUAACCCCGGACGGCGUAGCGGGCCUCGAACGGUCCAGGGUGCGGCGCGGACUCGCCACGGGCUCGGUACUUGUUAGAACGGGGGUUGCCAGAGAGAGAAGUUGAAUGGAUCCGAGGGUGGCUUGGAUUCAGCCCGAACAGAAAGGACCUGCGAACGCCUUAUGGAUGCACGUCUGGGAGACCUCUCAGGGAGUACGGACGCUGUCCGCUCAGCAGCAGCAGCAGCUCCACAAUCAGAACCACAACCAGUGCGUGAGUUACGCCGCGCUGGAUGUUUUGAAAAAUGUGGCGACCGCGGUGGCAUCGGGCAGCACCGGGAAUGGCAGCAGCCAUCACGGCAUCAACGGCACCGCGGUCCCCCCGCUGGGGAUAGCGCUGACCAACGGGAACGCACACAACUCCUUCCCCGUCGCGAGCGUCUCGGAGCCCGGUGAGGGGAAAAUCCUCCCCCGGAAGACGGGAUCCGUCUCUCCGCCGUCUCCGCAGGAGUCCGGGACGGACAGCCCCCCUUCCAGCUGCUCGCUGGAGAGGACUAUGGGUGGGAAUGACACGGGCAACAUUAAUAAAAACGUCGGGGGUGCCAACCUGAUCCUCAACCUGAGCGACACCAUGGACAAUAACGUCAACCUGUACCACCAUAACCUUCAUCAUCACCACCACCAUCAUCAUCAUCAUCAUCAUCACCACCUCCAGCAGCUCUGCAUGAAGCGCCACCAGCUCCAGCCCUCCGUGCCCGUAAACCCCACACACAGCCACCACCCGGGCCGGAGGAAAAGCGACAAUAAGGCGAGCACUUAUGGGAUGAAUUACCUGCUUUCAAACUGCACCAAUGGGAACUACCCGAGCUCCUGGACACCCUGGAAGACGAGGAAGUACAACCCUGGAGUACUCGGGUGAGUGGACGUGCACAUCACUGCCUUUAAAGGGUUAAAAACUUUGGUAACGUCUGCUUGUUACGACUGUUUGGAC
rnacentral:lncRNA from 1 species